rnacentral:other from 1 species
AAUGCUCUUUCUUGUUCGUGAAAAACCUAUAAUACUCUCUCUCAAGCACUAUAUGGGAUUUCAAUAUUUAGCCUGACCGUGGUCAAGCUGUGAGAUGUCCCACCUCUUUAAAACGAGGGUGUUAGUAUUUAGGCGAGUACACGGCAAAAAGGAGCUUUU